CUUCAGGCAUUUGAACCUUCGUUUCCAGGAUCAUGAAGCAAACUUAGACUUAAGUCAAAAAUUGUAAACUGUCUUAAUGUCUCUUGAUUGAAAUGACUGAAAAAAUAGAAAUGCAAUGAAAAGGGUCUUGAUACAAAAUUUACAGUUACAAAUUUUGAUCGUCGUUAUAAUGAUAAACAAUCAUUUUAUGACUGACUGAAAUUUUGACGUAAGUCUGAAAUUACGUCAUGAUCAUGAGGCCUGACUGUUAUAUAUAUAAACGUUUACGGUGUUACUGCAAUUCGGGUUUAUUGCUAGUAUAUUGACCAUCGCAUUUUGUUGAUUUUAUAUUUAAUUCAUGGAACUCUUAAAUCAUACAUAGUUCAUUUCUUACUGGUGUUCAAAGAGUGAUUUGAGAAGACAUCAACAAAAAUUGUUUUCUUUUGGUUGUUGAAUAAUCUUCUAAAUAUGUCGCCUCUUUGCCUCCAUAUACUAAUAGCUGCAUCCCUUUUUAACUACGCCCGUAUUUUAAGUGCUCAGAUUAAGCUAUUGCACUCGAUGACGUCAUCGUUGACUACACAUUAGACCCAAUAUCGUAUAUUGAAAAUGUAUAAUAUUAUAUUAGUAAUAGAGAACACAAAACUAUUCUAAAUCUUGUGUUUAUAAUAUUGCAUUGCAUUAGGUAAGUGGGUCUGUGUACAUUAUGAGUGUCUAACACUCUAAUCUCCAACUGCAUUUAAAACAAUAUUCUAUCUAUGCAUACAACUGUGUAGUACUACAUAAACUAUACAUCUACUGUUCUUAUAAGAAUUAUGAAGUUUUAAUGAUAUGGUUCUAUCUAAUUGAUAUAAUUUAUAAUUUUUUACACUUGCUAGAAAUAAAAACAGUUUUUGUUUAUCUAUGCAUACAACAUUGUAGUAUUACAUAUAUUAUAUACAACUGUUCAUAUAAAGAUUAUGAAAUUAUAAUGUUACAGUUCUAUCUAAAUAACAUAAUUAAUUUUUUACACUGGCUAGGAAUAAAAAACAUUUGUUUUUUGCUUUUUAAAAUCCAACAGAUGUACAUGUAGAUCUAAUAUUCUAUAAGAAAAAGUAAAUAAACAUGAACAAAUGUCCAGAUAUGUUAAGCUUUGCAAUAAUUUUGAAAUUUCUUAUUUGGCAUACUUUCCUCAUCGACCUCCAUCUUAUCUCCUUUUUAAUAGAAUAAAUUCAAACAAAAUAUCAAAUGAAAGGGAUUUAAAACUUGUUUUUUAAAGUUUCAAUUUAUCAUUUGAGAUCUCUGUGGAAAAAGAAAUUGGUAAAGGUUUUAUGGAUAAUACAGAGUAAAAACAUGUAUGUUUUGGUGCACAACCAACCCAGCCAGCCCCCCCCCCCCCCCCCCCCCCCGAAAAAGAUAUCGAAUGGGAAUUCACUCAUUUCCAUCUACACAAUGUCAAGGUUUUGUGAUUACGGAACUCCACACAAUUCACAAAACCCUGACAUUGUGUAGAUGGGAUCCAUUCUGAUACAUUUUUUUUUAAUAUGUACUUAGACACUUUUGUCUGUUUGAAAACUGCACGUGCAUGAAAUCUUUCAAAACAUAUUCGUGGGCAGCCAGUUUUCUUAGAUCCAGUUUGAAAUGCAAGAACACCGGUCUGUCCGUAAACAUGAUAGCUUCAACGAUAACGGUUAUUAGGCAUAAUAUAGCGGUUGUUAUGAGGAUGUAUUGAUCCGUGUGAGUAGUUCAACUUUUGUGUACUCAUGUACAGAAUGUGAUUAUUAAGAAUGAUUGUCUUAAUUUUGUCCCAAAUAUUAAGGGCCCUAAAUAUGGUAUUGAACAAUUUACGUGCAAUAAAUUUUUCUACAAGUG
rnacentral:sRNA from 1 species